UACGUAGGUGGCAAGCGUUGUCCGGAUUUACUGGGCGUAAAGAGCGCGCAGGCGGUCGUUCAAGUCGCGUGUGAAAGCCCCCGGCUCAACUGGGGAGGGUCACGCGAUACUGAUCGACUCGAAGGCAGGAGAGGGAAGUGGAAUUCCCGGUGUAGUGGUGGAAUGCGUAGAUAUCGGGAGGAACACCAGUGGCGAAGGCGGUUGCCUGGAGCUUUGCUGACGCUGAGGCGCGAAAGCGUGGGGAGCGAUCCGG
rnacentral:rRNA from 1 species